AUUGGACGCUGGCGGCAGGCUUAACACAUGCAAGUCGAGCGGGGGAAGGUAGCUUGCUACCGGACCUAGCGGCGGACGGGUGAGUAAUGCUUAGGAAUCUGCCUAUUAGUGGGGGACAACAUCUCGAAAGGGAUGCUAAUACCGCAUACGUCCUACGGGAGAAAGCAGGGGAUCUUCGGACCUUGCGCUAAUAGAUGAGCCUAAGUCGGAUUAGCUAGUUGGUGGGGUAAAGGCCUACCAAGGCGACGAUCUGUAGCGGGUCUGAGAGGAUGAUCCGCCACACUGGGACUGGGACACGGCCCAGACUCCUACGGGAGGCAGCAGUGGGGAAUAUUGGACAAUGGGGGGAACCCUGAUCCAGCCAUGCCGCGUGUGUGAAGAAGGCCUUAUGGUUGUAAAGCACUUUAAGCGAGGAGGAGGCUACUCUAGUUAAUACCUAGGGAUAGUGGACGUUACUCGCAGAAUAAGCACCGGCUAACUCUGUGCCAGCCGCCGCGGUAA
rnacentral:rRNA from 1 species